rnacentral:rRNA from 1 species
GACGAACGCUGGCGGCGUGCUUAACACAUGCAAGUCGAACGGAAAGGCCCUGCUUUUGUGGGGUGCUCGAGUGGCGAACGGGUGAGUAACACGUGAGUAACCUGCCCUUGACUUUGGGAUAACUUCAGGAAACUGGGGCUAAUACCGGAUAGGAGCUCCUGCUGCAUGGUGGGGGUUGGAAAGUUUCGGCGGUUGGGGAUGGACUCGCGGCUUAUCAGCUUGUUGGUGGGGUAGUGGCUUACCAAGGCUUUGACGGGUAGCCGGCCUGAGAGGGUGACCGGCCACAGUGGGACUGAGAUACGGCCCAGAGUGCUACGGGAGGCAGCAGUGGGGAAUAUUGCACAAUGGGCGGAAGCCUGAUGCAGCAACGCCGCGUGCGGGAUGACGGCCUUCGGGUUGUAAACCGCUUUCGCCUGUGACGAAGCGUGAGUGACGGUAAUGGGUAAAGAAGCACCGGCUAACUACGU